GCAGGUGUUCCCGAGUGGUCAAAGGGGUCGGCCUUAAGUUUAGGAAUUUUGCCACGCGCGUGCGCGGGGCGACGCACUCCUUUUCAUAAAAAAUCCGAUGCAUAUGCUUCGUGGGUUCGACCCCCACCACCUGCA
rfam:Ceraceosorus bombacis genome assembly, contig: Scaffold_65